GCCUCCAAAAUAACCUUUUAAACUUGAUCUGAAAUCAGGUGGGAUUACCCG
rnacentral:rRNA from 1 species